AUAGACCUAAAGCAGAAAAGCUACUUUAUUAACUGGAGCUGAUAAAGUGUGAGGGAGAGGAGGGAGAGAGAGAUGAGGCUCUAACAGAGGAGGUAGAGAGAGAUGAGGCUCUAGCAGGGGAGGUAGAGAGAGAUGAGGCUCUAGCAGGGGAGGUAGAGAGAGGUGAGGCUCUAGCAGGGGAGGUAGAGAGAGGUGAGGCUCUAGCAGGGGAG